UGGGGAAUUUUGGACAAUGGGCGCAAGCCUGAUCCAGCCAUGCCGCGUGCGGGAAGAAGGCCUUCGGGUUGUAAACCGCUUUUGUCAGGGAAGAAAUCUUCUGAGUUAAUACCUCGGGAGGAUGACGGUACCUGAAGAAUAAGCACCGGCUAACUACGUGCCAGCAGCCGCGGUAAUACGUAGGGUGCAAGCGUUAAUCGGAAUUACUGGGCGUAAAGCGUGCGCAGGCGGUUUUGUAAGACAGAGGUGAAAUCCCCGGGCUCAACCUGGGAACUGCCUUUGUGACUGCAAGGCUUGAGUGCGGCAGAGGGGGAUGGAAUUCCGCGUGUAGCAGUGAAAUGCGUAGAUAUGCGGAGGAACGGACCGAUGGCGAAGGCAAUCCCCUGGGCCUGCACUGACGCUCAUGCACGAAAGCGUGGGGAGCAAACAGGAUUAGAUAGCCCUGGUAGUCCACGCCCUAAAACGAUGUCAACUGGUUGUUGGGAAGGUUCCUUCUCAGUAACGUAGCUAACGCGUGAAGUUGACCGCCUGGGGAGUACGGCCGCAAGGUUGAAAC
rnacentral:rRNA from 1 species